rnacentral:sRNA from 1 species
CCUCUAACAAGUAAAAUAUCAGGACUAGAAGAAAUUCGAGA